rnacentral:rRNA from 1 species
AGCGAACGCUGGCGGCAGGCCUAACACAUGCAAGUCGAACGAACCCUUCGGGGUUAGUGGCGGACGGGUGAGUAACACGUGGGAACGUGCCUUUAGGUUCGGAAUAACUCAGGGAAACUUGUGCUAAUACCGAAUGCGCCCUUCGGGGGAAAGAUUUAUCGCCUUUAGAGCGGCCCGCGUCUGAUUAGCUAGUUGGUGAGGUAAUGGCUCACCAAGGCUACAAUCAGCAGCUGGUCUGAGAGGAUGACCAGCCACAUUGGGACUGAGACACGGCCCAAACUCCUACGGGAGGCAGCAGUGGGGAAUCUUGCGCAAUGGGCGAAAGCCUGACGCAGCCAUGCCGCGUGGAUGAUGAAGGUCUUAGGAUUGUAAAAUCCUUUCACCGGUGAAGAUAAUGACUGUAGCCGGAGAAGAAGCCCCGGCUAACUUCGUGCCAGCCGCCGCGGUAAAAC